rnacentral:tRNA from 1 species
GUAAUAAGAGUAUGAAUUGAGUAUGUUUGUCUUCCAAACAGAUGGUCUAAAAAUUUAGUUAUUAUU